GACCGAACCUUCUCAAACCAGGCACGAAUUCUGUCAGUCAGGGGCCGGGAUCGUCUGGCCCGCCAGCCCCGACUCGCGCGGCUCCGGGCCUGCGGCGCUGCCCCGGCCCAUCCAACCACGGAUCCACCGUUCAGAUAAUAUCCUUCGCUGCCUCCGGCUGCGAGGCAGGGAACUGAGGAAACGUCUCGAAUGGUCGAACAGUAGUUUGCUCGCUAUUAUCCAUGGCGACUUCUACGGCUGCUGCCACUGCACUGCUCCGCCCCAGGCCGGCAGUUCCAGCCAAGUUGGCGCAGAGGAGGUGCCUCCAUGCGGUUGCUGGGUGGACGACGAUGAGGAGGAGGGGAGCUGCAGGGGUCGUGCGAGCUUUCUUCAACCCUCUCGGGGAUGAGCGCAUCCUCCGAGAAGCCAUCAAGGAGCCAGUAGCAUUCAUGGGUGGUGUGUUUGCUGGCCUCUUGAGGCUUGACCUGAAUGAGGAUCCUCUCAAGGAAUGGAUAAGUCGGACAGUGGAGGCUUCUGGAAUAGCUGAGGAAAACAGCUCUGAAGAAUCAAGUGAGGCAGAUCAAAAUGAUGCACCUCAGCAAAUUGAGAUUGAGUGAGGUGCAUUGUCUACUUUUGUCCACUUGUCACUUUUCCCUUGUAACUUAUCCUGAAUAUAUGUGACACCUGAUUCAUCACGUGCUUGUCAAAAAAAAAAAGUUGGCCUUAUAACGUUUUUAAUUCAAAUAUUGUAUCAACCUCAAAAUAUCAAACCUUGGGCCCUGGUUUUAUUCUACAACUCCUGUUUCAUAAUAUGGAGCCCCAGUCCUCUAGACAUGAUUUUAAACUUGGCCAUAAGUAUAACUAGAGUGUAUUACCAGUAAAUGGAAAGUUACACUUUUGAAUGAAAUGCAUGUUCAAUGGUAUUCUUUGACAGCUAACUCUACAUAUGAAUGCACCAAUUCAUUUCUCAAUGUUUGCAAACUUUGACCCUUUGUGAUGUGUUAGGGCAUCAUAUAGUUAAAUGGAGGCACUCGUUGGACCACAAUAAAAUUAAUUUCACUGGUACAUGUAUUAGGGGAUAGUUGGAUGACCAAACAUUAUUUCGCCUUUCUACAUUAUGGUAGACCUGAAGUCGGUUCUUGCCUGCAGUGCUGCUUUAUUUUAAAAAAUGAUAUUUUUUGUCCUUCUGUUGCUGAUAUUAGAACAGUAUAUUGUUGGCCUCAUGUAUCUAUUGGCUUCAAGUGAAGUUUUGAGUUACAUCAGUUGAAUAUUUGAAAUGUAAGAGACUAAGAACAACCUUCAAUGGACAUGUAGAAAAGAUAUUGCAAGGCUUUUUGGACAUCACAUCCGAAUUUGGAGCAUGUCUUACUGAAAGUGCAGUGUAUUAAUUCAUGAACUCAGAAUGUUUUGCACAGCGUUUAUGCUAUACUAUCUAGCCUUCAAAAUAAUAGAAAAAAGAAAUCAGCUUUGUGUGUUCCAUAUAAACAACUUCUAUGGAGCCCUGCUGCUUGUAAGCAGCUUUGGUUGCAUACUACAAGAAAAAUAAGAAAUACAUAAUUUCUUCAGCAGAUCUUAAACUAAACAAAAUUUAAAUAUCUUGGCAUCUCCAUUACAUGAUUUAGAUAGAAUUUGUCAACAAUAUAGCCAAAAUCUUUGAGUAAACAAAUGUGUAUUAGACAGAUUGUUGGGAGAAAAUUGUGAUAUGUUCUUGGUGAUAAAAGGAACCAGUAUUCUUUGAAAUAAACUAAAAGUUACAAGAAAAGUAACAUUUCUUUUCACUGAUGUAUUUUGUAUUCUUGAGGUAUACUUGGUUGUAAUUUUUCUUUUGAAUCCUAGUAACUGUUUAACUUGUUAUGUUCUAUUCUCUUGGUUUUCUCUAGUAUAAUGCUAUGUAUUUAAGCAAGCUCUGUGCUUCAACCGGAAUAAUGGUUCUAUCAUGUCUAGGGGUGGUAAUGGAUCACGAUCCAAAUGCCCCUUCACAAAAAGUUAGGGCCCUUAAAUAAAUGUAGUUCAAAAAUGAAUAGGAAUAUGGUCCGAUUCUAAUCCGAUUCGAUCCUUAAAGUUUGUAGUGUAAACUCUAGAUCCCAUUACCACCCCUAAUCAUGUCUAGUGUCCCCCUGACAUAUAAUGUUAAUGCUGAAAAACUUAGGUGUCAGUAUCUGAUGCAAAAUGUCAACAUUUUUUUACUCAAGAUAGGUAUCAUUAUCAUCCUCAAAUUGGAGUAAAAAUCGGUGUGUUAGAAAUUUACGUUAAGGGAGGAUAAUCUGUUAAGCAGUCCUCUUUUGUGUUACUUUCUUGUGCGAGAAAUGUAUCACUUAGUAUGAGCUUGGCGGAUCUUGUCUUACCUCCUGCUUUCUUGUUUAUGGGAUACUCUUUGCAUCCCCUUUUCUUGCAGUAAUAAAUAUUACCCAUAUCGGUCUCCUUGUCGCAUGCCUUUGUGUGUGCAUCUGGAUAGGUAGCUAGGUCACCACAUUUCCCUCUAUAACAUGUUGUUUGAUUUCUCUUGUCACUGAUUCAUUUGGAAAUACAUCAGUGGGUUUGACGCUUUUGUAGGAAUGUUUGGUACUAUAAGUUACUACGUACAGUACAUACACAGUUCCUCCAAGAGACCAAGAUACAUCUUUGACCAGACUUUGGCUGUGGUAGGUUUAAGAAGAACUGCACAUGAGAACAGGGGAAAGGUCCUCAAAAUACAAAACAAUUCCCGAAAUAAUACCCGGAAUAGGUGAGACCGUGAGAGCAGACUCUGACCACACAAGGGAGAGCAUACUCCUACCACACCCCAUACCACUAGGACAGCAGCUUAUUUGGUCAUCUUCUUUUUGAAAAAUUAUUAUUUGGUUGUCAUGUUUCUUAUCUUAGUAUAAUAUACCCUCUCCAGCGAUGUCCUGUAGAGAGUUCGUGUUGUUGUAAGACCUGGCCAUUUAUUCCCCGCAAUGGAAAAUACACACUCUCCUUCGUAUUAAAAAAAGUGUCCAGUCCUUAAA